UACGUAGGGCGCAAGCGUUAUCCGGAAUUAUUGGGCGUAAAGAGCUCGUAGGCGGUUUGUCGCGUCUGCCGUGAAAGUCCGGGGCUCAACUCCGGAUCUGCGGUGGGUACGGGCAGACUAGAGUGCAGUAGGGGAGACUGGAAUUCCUGGUGUAGCGGUGAAAUGCGCAGAUAUCAGGAGGAACACCAAGUGGCGAAGGCAUGCUCCGCUGGGACGGUACUGAGGCCUGGAAGGCGCGGGAAAAGCCAGUGGGGGAGCAAACAAGGAUUGAUG
rnacentral:rRNA from 1 species